rnacentral:rRNA from 1 species
AGCUGGCGGCGGCCUACACAUGCAAGUCGAGCGCCCCGCAAGGGGAGCGGCGGACGGGUGAGUAACGCGUGGGAACGUACCCUUUGCUACGGAAUAGCCUCGGGAAACUGGGAGUAAUACCGUAUGUGCCCUUCGGGGGAAAGAUUUAUCGGCAAAGGAUCGGCCCGCGUUGGAUUAGGUAGUUGGUGGGGUAAUGGCCUACCAAGCCGACGAUCCAUAGCUGGUUUGAGAGGAUGAUCAGCCACACUGGGACUGAGACACGGCCCAGACUCCUACGGGAGGCAGCAGUGGGGAAUCUUAGACAAUGGGCGCAAGCCUGAUCUAGCCAUGCCGCGUGAGCGAUGAAGGCCUUAGGGUUGUAAAGCUCUUUCAGUGGGGAAGAUAAUGACUGUACCCACAGAAGAAGCCCCGGCUAACUCCGUGCCAGCAGCCGCGGUAAUACGGAGGGGGCUAGCGUUGUUCGGAAUUACUGGGCGUAAAGCGCACGUAGGCGGACCGGAAAGUCAGAGGUGAAAUCCCAGGGCUCAACCUUGGAACUGCCUUUGAAACUCCUGGUCUUGAGGUCGAGAGAGGUGAGUGGAAUUCCGAGUGUAGAGGUGAAAUUCGUAGAUAUUCGGAGGAACACCAGUAGCGAAGGCGGCUCACUGGCUCGAUACUGACGC